GCGUUCCCUUCAGCAGCACCUCCACUGCCGUUGGAACAACAGAGAGAAGAUUAGCGUGGCCACUGUGCACGGAUGACACACAAAUUUGUGAAGCGUUCCAUAAAAAG